AGGAAAAAUAACUUCACAUUGCUUUUUGAUCACAUUGUUAAUUCACAAUAGAAAAAAAAGGCAAGCUGCAAGUAUGAUAGGGAAGUGCUUCUUGGUGCCUAAAGCUGUCACACAACAUUUCCUCGUUUGCUAUUUCCCUUCUUGUGUUGCAUGCAUAUUAUACAGUCCCUGUUUAUUAAAAAGAAAGGAAACAUUUGUCUGCUAUUUCUGUACAGCUUUUAAUUGUAUAAAAUAUACGUUUGUCAUAGUUACUCAGUUAAAGUAGUUAAAGCAGAGGAUUCACCGCUGGAGCAUUUGAAAUUUUGGAUAUUUAUAACCAAAAGAUACUUAACAACCAUACUAUAUAUUCUGGAGUACUCACUAUUCUUGCUGUAUGCUGGAUUCCUCUCUCAGCCACUCUGUUUCAUCUAUCCAUAAGGCUGUCUGUUCAUGUCAUGGUGUCUGUUCACUAUUUGAUUGGUUAAUUAAAUCUGUCGUUAUAGUUCCUAGUUAAGCAUUUAAUAAAGCAUUGCGAAUUACUUUUAGGUGCACACAGGUGUUGUGAGGGGGUUUGCCUGAUGUCUUGCUCGUUGUACUGAAACUCAAGAGGGUCUGAGGAAAGCCAUAUGACCCUUAGAAGGUGAUUAAAGUGUCAAGAAUAAGAAGUCUUAAGCAAAAGCCAAGCCCUUGAAGUUAUCAGUGCCCAGGACUACAGUCAACAGUGUGACGUUUAGAGCACAGGUGUCAUUAUGUACAUGCUCCUCCUGCAGGAAGGUCUGUAUCUCCAGUAUCAAAUUCAAAGCAGGAGUGCAAAGAAAAAAAGGGAGAACUGAACAAGUCCUCAGUGCAUUCAGCCCAGGAACUGGGAAAUAAAAACAUCCUGAAGUCUGCUGUUUCACUCAGAACCAAAAAGAAAUCAUAGGACAUCCAUCAACUCUGAACAACUUAAGAGUAAACAACUAUUACGUGUGCCAAAAUGAGCAGACUAUAUAAAGAUGGACAAAUAUAUCCUGAAGUGUUUGUCUCUUUACUCUCCUGAACCCUUUAAUCGGAAAGCUUUAGCUUUCCUUUAACACUGGAAAAAAAUCUAACAGCAGUGUGAACUCCUAACCUGUAAGAGGACAUCCACUGAUAGUAUUUUUGUCAGAGAACAAAUUAUAGAAUUGCCUAAAAAUGUAUGUAAUUUAUUUGUUCUGUACUAGCAGGCACCAUGCCAGGUAGGCAGUUUGCUUUCACAAAUCCAUUUUGCUGUGUUUUACUUGCUUUUACUUUCUUUACUUUUGUCAGAAACGUUUAGGGGGAAAAAUGAUGCUGGAAUCUGUAAUAGGGAUUCCAGGUAACUGUGUGCUUUGCACUGUGAGAAUAUUCUAGGAAAUUGCUUAUAAAUUUGUUGGAGGCAUUAUAACACAAGUGCUUCAGUCUAUGGAAUUUGUAACUGCUAUUUUAGGUUACUGUCAAUUGCUUAUUUUUAAGCAGAACUUAUUUUAAGCUUGACAAAUAUAAAAUGUAUUUUUAAGUACAACAGAAUUGCUAUGGUUCUCACUGCUGAAUUUCUGGUGUUUUGAUUAAAUUCUUUAAAUAAAACAGGUGUUAGAGUAAUGGCCUUUACAAGUUAAUUAAUCUUCAUUUUCAAGGGGAUGAGCUACCAUUAAGCUUAGGUUUAUUUUAUGUUUGUGUAAAUUGCAAAGUGAUUUACUGUUCCACAGACAAGACCAUUCUCUAAAAACAGAUCUCACCUCAAUGCCAGUCUACUGGCACCUUAUGUAAGUAAAAUACACAUGCUCUUUAUUGGUUAAAAACAUUUCCUUAAAUUCUGUGUUUUGGCUCGUUCAAGUAAUUCUGCUGUGAACAUCAGUCUGAGGAGACAUCAUUUGCUUAAAUCUCAUCUGUUCUCUACACUAAUUGUGAAGUUCCUCGGUUGUUAACAGCCUCGAUUUUAUUUAGGUGCGAAGUAAUGCUAUUACAGGGCCAACAUGCUUCCUUGUAGGUACCUGAAUACUUGGAGAGAUCUUAUUUACAGUAAACUAAGUAAAAACUUUUUGUCAUCUUAAAAUACGAAAAAGUUAAUGUAUCACUCAUACUCACUAAAGAAUGUGGGUGGGUGUGUAAUCAGGCACCUUUUGGGGAGUAUUCAUCUAGUGUCAGUUUUUCAGAUGAGAUUGAGUCUGUUGAGGAGUUGGACACAAAAGGUGUGUUCUACAAAAUACAGUGAGUGGAAGAAAGUCACGGAUUUUUUUUUUUUUUUACAGAAUUUAGUAAGAAUUUCACUUUAAGUAGGAAGUUGUCCUUUCUUUCUCUUUUUGUUAUGCACUCAAACAGCAGUGAAGUCUACUUCACAUAAGAGCUCUAAUAGUCAGACAGUUUUUAUUUGAUGUGGCUGAAAUCUUUUACAAAGUCCAGACUGCUUUCUGGUUCUCUUGACACCAAAAUGUUAGGUCAGAUUGUGGCCUAAAUAACUGCCUCCUUGGCUAUUAACUGACACUGCUCAUUCUUUUCAUUUAGUGAGAGUCACUUGAAGGGCACGCCUCGGCUCCCUCUAUUAAAACAGUGGCUGCAUCAUUAGCAACCUCGGGGCAGUCCUACCUGAUCACAGUAGCUGCAUAGUGGUGAACUUCUUUCCUUGAUGGGGCACAGUGUUGAGGGUGCUGAUACUCUGUUUUCAGAUGCACUUUUUUCUAACACAGAUAAAAUUUUCAGAAACCCAGCAGACGUGCUGACAUUUUCUACCACCACUGCUCCUUUGAACCAAGGAAGCUUGAAAACAUACUACUUCACAUCAAAGGGUUUUGUCAUUUCUACAGCACUAACAGAACACAGUAAGUAUAAUUUACCUUUAAAGAGUGAGCUAUUUACCUGUCAUGGGUUCAUUCUUCUAUCCUGAGGUAUUGAAUCAUUUCCCAGCUCUGUCAAUCUUAAGAUAUUUUGGCUAGCAUGCACCUUUUGUGGCUUGCGUCUUAACAGAUUUGACUUUGAUCUUGCCAGUUCUGACUUCAUUCUCCUUUCCUCUGCACUCCUGGAUUUGUUUUGCUUGUUCUUUUUUGCCUAGGUACAUUUCCAUUUCCACAACUCCUCUUGCUUUUUUGCCACAGACAGAUGUAUGUCCUGUGUUAUCCCAAGCAUGUCCAGUGUUGUCCCAAGGUACCAGUGCAUUUUGAUCAUGUACAGAGGGGUGUCACGGGGCUCACAUGAAAGAGGCAGCAGUCUGUCAGAUCUGCAGCUGGUAGCCUGCCCCCUGCCCAGUGCUGCCUUGUUUCAGGGAAAGAAGGGGGUGAGGAGCAGGCCAUGGGCCGUGUGUAUCCAGAAGGCAGUCAUCAGGCUGUUUGUGUUGCGCUUCUUCAGUUGGGCUUCGGUGAGGGGCCGGGAGGGACUGAGCAGUUGAGCUUGUGUUGGAAUUGCAGAAGAGUGGAACAUCAACUUCCCAAAGACUGGAGAAGAAACUUUCAUUGUAUCAGUGACUCCUAGCGUUAAACCUCUUGUUAAACAAAACAGAGGUCUUAAAAUAAGCUCCAUGUGUUUUUCGUUUUUCUUCCUUAUCCUCUUUUCUCUUUAUGC